AUUGAACGCUGGCGGCAGGCCUAACACAUGCAAGUCGAGCGAGCGGCGGACGGGUGAGUAAUGUUUGGGGACUGCCCGUUAGAGGGGGAUAACUACUGGAUACGGUAGCUAAUACCGCAUCCUAUCGGAUAACCCAUAUGGGAUUAGCUAGUAGGUGAGGUAAUGGCUCACCUAGGCGACGAUCCCUAGCUGGUCUGAGAGGAUGAUCAGCCACACUGGGACUGAGACACGGCCCAGACGCGUACGGAGGCAGCAGUGGGGAAUAUUGCACAAUGGGCGCAAGCCUGAUGCAGCCAGGCCGCGUGUAUGAAGAAGGCCAUAGGGUUGUAAAGUACUUUCAGUCGGGAGGCGUUACCGACAGAAGAAGCACCGGCUAACUCCGUGCCAGCCGCCGCGGUAAUAC
rnacentral:rRNA from 1 species